rnacentral:rRNA from 1 species
GAUGAACGCUGGCGGCGUGCCUAAUACAUGCAAGUCGAGCGAACAGAUGAGGAGCUUGCUCCUCUGACGUUAGCGGCGGACGGGUGAUUAACACGUGGAUAACCUACCUAUAAGACUGGGAUAACUUCGGGAAACCGGAGCUAAUACCGGAUAAUAUAUUGAACCGCAUGGUUCAAUAGUGAAAGACGGUUUUGCUGUCACUUAUAGAUUGAUCCGCGCCGCAUUAGCUAGUUGGUAAGGUAACGGCUUACCAAGGCAACGAUGCGUAGCCGACCUGAGAGGGUGAUCCGCCACACUGGAACUGAGACACGGUACAGACUCCUACGGGAGGCAGCAGUAGAGAAUCUUACGCGAUGGGCGAGAGCCUGACGGAGCAAAGCCGCGUGAGUGAUGACGGUCUUCGGAUCGUAAAACUCUGUUAUUAGGGAAGAACAAAUGUGUAAGUAACUAUGAACGUAUUGACGGUACCUAAUCAGAAAGCCACGGCUAACUACGUG